rnacentral:sRNA from 1 species
GGCACUCUAUAAGACGGGCCCCGUUGAC